ensembl:lncRNA
GGAGAGGAAUACAGAAGUGAAAACUGAGUGAACUGCUACUAAGAAAAAAGAGGAUGAAAUUGUCACUGCUGACAAGGGGCCUGGAUUGGAUCCCAAGUCAAGGAAUUAGAUCCACACGCCACAACUUAAGAGCUCCCAUGCUACAACUAAUGAUCUCACAUACUGCAACUAAGACCUGGCACAGCCAAAUAAAUAAAUGAAUGAAUAUUAAAGCAGAUGUUUGGUUUUCUGGGUUCUACCGCUGGCAUAAUAGUGGGAGUCCCUGCAGAGUGAGUUACCACCUGAAAACUUAUGGGAGUCAAGGCCUCAGCUUGGAAAAGAAGAGUGACAUCAUGUUGCUGAGAGACAAAUGGAGUAUAUGCUUAUCACACAGUCAACUGUUUAGGGAUUUUCUUGUGGCUCAGUGGUAAAGAAUUCACCUACAAUGAAGGAGACAUGGAUGAUGUGAAUUCCAUCCCUGGGUCAGGAGGAACCCCUGGAAGAGGAAAUGGCAACUCACUGCAGUAUUAUUGCCUGAGAAAUCCCAUGGACAGAAGAGCCUGGCUUGCUCCAGUUCAUGAAGGUCACAAAGAGCUGAACACGAUUGAGCAACUGAGCACACACAUGCAUAUUAAUAAUAAUUUAUUAUAAUUAAUAAAUCACCUAGAGAUUAUUUAAAUUUCUUUGCUUUACUUUCUACCUUGAAUUCAUCCAUUUGCCUCAAUUACACAAUAAAGUUACUAGAAAUUCAUUCUUUUGUAAUGUUACCAAUAUAAAAUAUGGUUAGGUUCAUUUGUUUCCACUUGUGUUCAAUUAGUGGCAAUAUUCUAUAUCUAAAUUAUUAUUUUUUUUAUUUUUAAACUUUACAUAAUUGUAUUAGUUCUAUAAAGCUCAACAUUCAAGAAACG